AUUGAACGCUGGCGGCAUGCCUUACACAUGCAAGUCGAACGGCAGCACGGGUGCUUGCACCUGGUGGCGAGUGGCGAACGGGUGAGUAAUACAUCGGAACAUGUCCUGUAGUGGGGGAUAGCCCGGCGAAAGCCGGAUUAAUACCGCAUACGAUCCACGGAUGAAAGCGGGGGACCUUCGGGCCUCGCGCUAUAGGGUUGGCCGAUGGCUGAUUAGCUAGUUGGUGGGGUAAAGGCCUACCAAGGCGACGAUCAGUAGCUGGUCUGAGAGGACGACCAGCCACACUGGGACUAAGACACGGCCCAGACUCCUACGGGAGGCAGCAGUGGGGAAUUUUGGACAAUGGGCGAAAGCCUGAUCCAGCAAUGCCGCGUGUGUGAAGAAGGCCUUCGGGUUGUAAAGCACUUUUGUCCGGAAAGAAAUCCUUGGCUCUAAUACAGUCGGGGGAUGACGGUACCGGAAGAAUAAGCACCGGCUAACUACGUG
rnacentral:rRNA from 1 species